UGUGGGAGCUGGCUUGCCUGCGAUGACGGCGGCACAUUCAACAUCAAUGCGUCAGUUAAACCGCUAUCGCAGGCAAGCCAGCUCCCACA
rnacentral:misc_RNA from 1 species